rnacentral:rRNA from 1 species
AUUGAACGCUGGCGGCAUGCCUUACACAUGCAAGUCGAACGGCAGCACGGGCUUCGGCCUGGUGGCGAGUGGCGAACGGGUGAGUAAUACAUCGGAACGUGCCCUGUCGUGGGGGAUAACGCAGCGAAAGCUGCGCUAAUACCGCAUACGAUCUAUGGAUGAAAGCGGGGGACCGUAAGGCCUCGCGCGAUUGGAGCGGCCGAUGUCAGAUUAGGUAGUUGGUGGGGUAAAGGCUCACCAAGCCGACGAUCUGUAGCUGGUCUGAGAGGACGACCAGCCACACUGGGACUGAGACACGGCCCAGACUCCUACGGGAGGCAGCAGUGGGGAAUUUUGGACAAUGGGCGCAAGCCUGAUCCAGCAAUGCCGCGUGCAGGAAGAAGGCCUUCGGGUUGUAAACUGCUUUUGUACGGAACGAAACGGUCCUGGUUAAUACCUGGGGCUAAUGACGGUACCGUAAGAAUAAGCACCGGCUAACUACGUGCCAGCCGCCGCCGUAAUAC